ensembl:lncRNA
UGCAUCUUUGUCACAAAUACCUUAAAAAUGGAGUGGUGUGGAUCAGAAACCAGUCAGUAUAUGGUGUGACCAUUUGCCCCAUGCAGCGCAAUCUCCUUUGCAUAGAGUUGAUCAGGUUGUUGAUUGUGCCACUCGUCUUUAAUGGCUGUGCGAAAUUGCUGUAUAUUGUUGGGAACUGGAACACACUGUCGUACACGUCAAUUCAGAGCAUCCCGAACAUGGGUGACAUGUCUGGUUAGUGCAGUGUUCCUUCAUCCUGAUCCUGGGGAAUCAAAGGGGGCGGGGAGGAAGAGAGCCAGUGUGAAGCAGCAGAGUCUCAGCAGCAACCUCUUCAUCCUGGAAAGAGCGGACCAAUCAGGACAGCCAUAUUUCAGUCCCGCCCCUCAGGUCCAGGAAGUAUGUCAGGAGGUGGAUGAGUUCAUCUAUGUGGCCAAUGCAGAGACGGGAAGAGGUAACACCAAGACUCCAACACAUUCCUCAUACUUGCUCCUAUUCCUAGGCCCUUGUUGCCAGCCAGAUAAUCUUGUCAAGCUAUCGCAACAUCAGGCUGGUUCCACCAGGCUACCUUCCAGGACCAGAUCCAGGGAAAGAUCAGGCUCGUUCCACCAGGCUACCUUCCAGGACCAAAUCCAGUGAAAGGUGGUGAGGGGGACAGAUCCAGGCAUUGGUGGACCCUGCCUAGUGUUCAUCCUCCAGAACCCUCCUUGUCCUGACUUUUGUGUCCAGAGAGGAACCAGACUCAAUCAGAACCACUAGUCCCAGUACUGCUAGAUUAAAGACCAGGACCCCCAGUGUGGAUAUUGCACAGAGGCUCUGCCUGUGCCUGCUGCCCAACCCCUGGAUUGUCUGUCUGUCUGUGUAGUGUCUGUCUGUCUGUGUAGUGUCUGUCUGUUUAUGUAGUUUAUGUAGUGUCUGUCUGUCUGUGUAGUUUAUGUAGUGUCUGUCUGUGUAGUGUCUGUCUGUGUAGUGUCUGUCUGUCUAUGUAGUGUCUGUCUGUCUGUCUAUGUAGUAUCUGUCUGUGUAGUGUCUGUCUGUCCUGUCUGUCUAUGGUCUAUGUAGUCUGUCUGUCUGCUAGGGUGCUCUGGUCUCAGGCUGUAGCUAUCUGUCUAAGGAACUACCUUCAGCACAAAUGCUUCUGAAGGAAUGUUCUACCUCUGAUGUGCCUUGUUUAAAUGAAUCGCAAAAUAAAAAGUCAUUAUUGGGUAAAUAUUAUUUAAUAACCCUGUAGUAAUUUUUUUGUGAAUAAGUAGUGGGUUGUGAAACAAAACAGAAGUGAAGAGAACUACUGUUUAACUGUAGCUACGGUACUUUAGUGAAGAUAAUGAAGGGUUUUGGUUAUCACAUUAUUUUCUUCUACUACUGCGUAGUUUAGAAGCAUUUAGAAUCAUGUUGAUGUGACAAGGAAUUAUGGGUAAAAAAAAAGAUAUACCUUUAUUUCAGCAAAUCAUGCCAUUUUCUUUAAUUUCUUUCAUAUAAGUUAUAAUUUUUUAUACUCCAAAGUAUUAUGCUUUUAUUUUCUUUCAUUGUUUAAAUUCAUGUUCUAAAUUACCACUGCACAAGUUGUUAUAAAGCAACUGAAAGCCUUCGGUGGGUCACAG